AACGAACGCUGGCGGCAUGCCUAACACAUGCAAGUCGAACGAAGGCUUCGGCCUUAGUGGCGCACGGGUGAGUAACGCGUGGGAAACUGCCUAUUGGUGGGGAAUAACGACGAGAAACUGUCGCUAAUACCGCAUAAGCCCUUCGGGGGAAAGAUUUAUAGCCGAUAGAUGUGCCCGCGUCCGAUUAGCUAGUUGGUGAGGUAAUGGCUCACCAAGGAGACGAUGGGUAGCUGGUCUGAGAGGAUGAUCAACCACACUGGGACUGAGACACGGCCCAGACUCCUACGGGAGGCAGCAGUGGGGAAUAUUGGACAAUGGGCGAAAGCCUGAUCCAGCAAUGCCGCGUGAGUGAUGAAGGCCUUAGGGUUGUAAAGCUCUUUCGGGUGGGACGAUGAUGACGGUACCACCAGAAGAAGCCCCGGCUAACUUCGUGCCAGCCGCCGCAGUAA
rnacentral:rRNA from 1 species